UCCCUCAUUUCCAUCCUCUUUCCGACUUUCGUUCAUACAUUGCUAAGUGCUAACGAGACAUGAAUUUGUGAAAUUGUAGCCUGACUUCGAGGCGGCCUACGUGGCCGCUCAUCAAGAAUAUCAGGUGGCCUUCAACCAGCACCAAGCAGCACUUCAUGGAGUACAUGGCAUAUAUACAUGCGUCGAUGGUGGCCAAUCAAACUGGACAGACAGUGGAUUUAGGGCCGAUGCCUCCCUUUCCGGGGCCGGCGCCAAACAUGCCAUCGAAGGAAAAUUUCGCUGCGGAGUACUAUGGGAGAACAACGGGAACGGGAUGUUCCGGAAACCAGGGUGGUGGGAGGGAGAUCACACCGGUUCAUCAUGGUGGUCCUUCUCCCGGUGCUACACCCGGUACUUCUCCCGGUACUUCUCCCGGUCCUUCUCCCGGUGGUUCUUCCGCAGCUUCUACCGGAAGGAAUCGGCCGGUGUUUAGCGGCGACGAGCUCCUCUAGUAGUCCCAUGUAUCUUAUGCACACUAUGGCACCAUGCAUGUAUGCACACUAUGGCACUAUGUAUGCAUCCUAUGUCACUAUGACACUAUGUAUGCAACCUAUGGCACUAUGACACUAUGUAUGCACUUGAUGUUAUAUGUAUUUGCACUUCAUGCCUAUG